GUGCUUGCUUCUGCAGCACAUAUAUACUAAAAUUGGAACGAUACAGAGAAGAUUAGCAUGGACCCUGAGCAAGGAUGACAUGCAUUCCAUAUUUAAAAAAAUAUGGCUUC